UCGUGACGACUGCAGCUAUUACAAACUUGAGCUCACAGAAAGUGAAUUUCAUUUCUGUGCCGCUCACUGAUCUGUUCACUCUGUUCUUUACUAAGUUAUAUUUGAACUCCUCCACCGAGUUCAAACUACUUUGAACAUAACCAGCUGUUGCAGCAGCCUGCUGCACACCAUCAGUCCACAUAUCAGCAAUGAAUCAAGAUUUUGGAAUGAAACACAACCUGUGUUACAGGUGAAGCGAAAGCAUUUAGCAGAGGAGGUCUGACAGAGCUCCACCCCUCACCUGACUCACCUGAGACAAACCAGGAGACAGUCAGUUCCUGUUCAGUUCUCAGUGAGAAGGGAGACAGCGACAGACAGGCGACCAGAUUCACCUUCAGACCAAAAUGAAGCAGUGGUCUGACAGAGCUCCACCCCUCACCUGACUCACCUGAGACAAACCAGGAGACAGUCAGUUCCUGUUCAGUUCUCAGUGAGAAGAGAGCGCAGCGACAGACAGGCGCUUCACUCGGAGACAAAAUGGCUUCCAGAUCAGAGGAGGAUUUCUGCUGUGCGGUCUGUCAUGAGGUCUUUAGAGAUCCUGUUCUUCUGUCAUGUAGCCACAGCUUCUGUGAAGACUGUCUGAAGAGCUGGUGGAGAGAGAAACCAGCACAUGAGUGUCCAGUUUGUAAGAGAAGGUCUUCAAGGACAGAACCACCUUUAAACCUGGCGUUAAAGAACCUCUGUGAGGCCUUCUUACAGGACAGAGAUCAGAGAGCUU